AAAAGGUUUGGUCCUGGCCUUAUAAUUAGUUAGAGGUAAAAUUACACAUGCAAAAAUCCGUAAACCAGUGUCAAAUCCCCUAAAACUUACCAAAGCUUAGGGAGAGGGUAUCAAGCACAUACAAUAUAGCUAAAGACGCCUUGCCUAGCCACGCCCCCACGGGACUCAGCAGUGAUAAAAAUUAAGCAAUGAACGAAAGUUUGACUAAGUUAUACCUCUCAAGGGUUGGUAAAUUUCGUGCCAGCCAA
rnacentral:rRNA from 1 species